GAGGCAUAGCUCAGCUGGUUAGAGCGCACGGUUCACAUCCGUGAGGUCGCGGGUUCGAGUCCCCCUGUCUCC
rnacentral:tRNA from 1 species